rnacentral:rRNA from 1 species
AGAACGAACGCUGGCGGCAUGCCUAACACAUGCAAGUCGAACGAGACCUUCGGGUCUAGUGGCGCACGGGUGCGUAACGCGUGGGAAUCUGCCCUUGGGUUCGGAAUAACAGCGAGAAAUUGCUGCUAAUACCGGAUGAUGACGUAAAGUCCAAAGAUUUAUCGCCCAGGGAUGAGCCCGCGUAGGAUUAGCUAGUUGGUGAGGUAAAGGCUCACAAGGCGACGAUCCUAGCUGGUCUGAGAGGAUGAUCAGCCACACUGGGACCUGAGACCACGGCCCAGACUCCUACGGGAGCAGCAGGUAGGAAUAGUUGACAAUGGGACGAAAGCCUGAUCCAGCAAGUGACCGCGUGACGUAGAGU